rnacentral:rRNA from 1 species
GGACCGAACCGACUAAUGUUGAAAAAUUAGCGGAUGACCUGUGGCUGGGGGUGAAAGGCCAAUCAAACCGGGAGAUAGCUGGUUCUCCCCGAAAGCUAUUUAGGUAGCGCCUCGUGAAUUCAUCUCCGGGGGUAGAGCACUGUUUCGGCUAGGGGGCCAUCCCGGCUUACCAACCCGAUGCAAACUGCGAAUACCGGAGAAUGUUAUCACGGGAGACACACGGCGGGUGCUAACGUCCGUCGUGAAGAGGGAAACAACCCAGACCGCCAGCUAAGGUCCCAAAGUCAUGGUUAAGUGGGAAACGAUGUGGGAAGGCCCAGACAGCCAGGAUGUUGGCUUAGAAGCAGCCAUCAUUUAAAGAAAGCGUAAUAGCUCACUGGUCGAGUCGGCCUGCGCGGAAGAUGUAACGGGGCUAAACCAUGCACCGAAGCUGCGGCAGCGACACUGUGUGUUGUUGGGUAGGGGAGCGUUCUGUAAGCCUGUGAAGGUGUGUCGUGAGGCAUGCUGGAGGUAUCAGAAGUGCGAAUGCUGACAUAAGUAACGAUAAAGCGGGUGAAAAGCCCGCUCGCCGGAAGACCAAGGGUUCCUGUCCAACGUUAAUCGGGGCAGGGUGAGUCGACCCCUAAGGCGAGGCCGAAAGGCGUAGUCGAUGGGAAACGGGUUAAUAUUCCCGUACUUGGUGUUACUGCGAAGGGGGGACGGAGAAGGCUAUGUUGGCCGGGCGACGGUU